ensembl:lncRNA
UGGAGAGCCCAGAUACAGACGUGGAGGCCGUGAGAUUCGAAGAGUUUUGUCUGAAAAUCUCUGAUGAUUCGCACUGUACAACCGCUGAACCAGAGCCCAGACAAACGGUUACCAACAAGGAGGCAGCUGAGAGCACACAACUGGCAAUGUCUUCCCCGUCGGACGACAAGGAAGGUGGGUCACUUGAGUUUUUUUUUUUUUUUUUUUUUCACCUUUAUUUAACCAGGUAGGCUAGUUGAGAACACCUUUAUUUAACCAGGUAGGCUAGUUGAGAACACCUUUAUUUAACCAGGUAGG